GACGAACGCUGGCGGCGUGCUUAACACAUGCAAGUCGAACGGAAAGGCCCUGCUUUUGUGGGGUGCUCGAGUGGCGAACGGGUGAGUAACACGUAAGUAACCUGCCCUUGACUUUGGGAUAACUUCAGGAAACUGGGGCUAAUACCGGAUAGGAGCUCCUGCUGCAUGGUGGGGGUUGGAAAGUUUCGGCGGUUGGGGAUGGACUCGCGGCUUAUCAGCUUGUUGGUGGGGUAGUGGCUUACCAAGGCUUUGACGGGUAGCCGGCCUGAGAGGGUGACCGGCCACAUUGGGACUGAGAUACGGCCCAGACUCCUACGGGAGGCAGCAGUGGGGAGUAUUGCACAAUGGGCGGAAGCCUGAGGCAGCAACGCCGCGUGCGGGAUGACGGCCUUCGGGUUGUAAACCGCUUUCGCCUGUGACGAAGCGUGAGUGACGGUAAUGGGUAAAGAAGCACCGGCUAACUACGUG
rnacentral:rRNA from 1 species